UAUGAUCGCGCGACUGGAAGAGCGCGUCCAAGUGCGUAUGUUGAAUCGGAGGCAAAUCCCUGAUUCUGAAAGCAGAGACACGAUGGGGAGUUAUACGAAAGUAUGACGAACUCAUAGAUCCUACACUGCCAAGAAAAACUUCUAGUGAGAAAGUAUCCGCCCGUACCGUAAACCGACACAGGUAGGCGGGGAGAGAAUCCUAAGGUGCGCGGGAAAACCCUCGUUAAGGAACUCGGCAAAUUGCAUCCGUAACUUAGGGAGAAGGAUGACCUUAAGUAAGCGAAAGGGAGAAACCCCUGGAACAGAACAAGGUGGCAGAAAAGAGGCCCAAGCAACUGUUUACCAAAAACACAGGUGCCUGCGAAAGCGAAAGCUGAAGUAUAGGUGCUGACGCCUGCCCGGUGCUGGAAGGUUAAGGAGAGAUGUCAGAGCAAUCGAAGCAUUGAACUGAAGCCCCAGUGAACGGCGGCCGUAACUAUAACGGUCCUAAGGUAGCGAAAUUCCUUGUCGGGUAAGUUCCGACCCGCACGAAAGGUGUAACGAUUUGGGCACUGUCUCAACGAGGGGCCCGGUGAAAUUGAAAUACCUGUGAAGAUGCAGGUUACCCGCGACUGGACAGAAAGACCCCAUGGAGCUUCACUGCAGCUUGAGAUUGAAUCUCGGUGAUGCAUGCACAGGAUAGGUGGGAGACUUUGAAGUAUGGGCUUUGGCUUAUACUGAGUCGAUGUUGGGAUACCACCCUUGUAUUGCUGAGAUUCUAACACGGAGGCUAACAACCUCGUGGACCAUCUCAGGUAGGCGGUUUGACUGGGGCGGUCGCCUCCGAAAGAGUAACGGAGGCGCCCAAAGGUUCCCUCAGGUCGGACAGAAACCGACCGAAGAGUGCAAAGGCAGAAGGGAGCUUGACUGCGAGACAGACAAGUCGAGCAGAGACGAAAGUCGGGCUUAGUGAUCCGGUGGUACUGUGUGGAAAGGCCAUCGCUCAACGGAUAAAAGCUACCCUGGGGAUAACAGGCUAAUCUCUCCCAAGAGUUCAUAUCGACGGGGAGGUUUGGCACCUCGAUGUCGGCUCAUCACAUCCUGGAGCUGGAGUAGGUUCCAAGGGUUGGGCUGUUCGCCCAUUAAAGUGGUACGCGAGCUGGGUUCAAAACGUCGUGAGACAGUUUGGUUCAUAUCCAUCGCGGGCGCAAGAAGUUUGAGGGAGGCUGCUCCUAGUACGAGAGGACCGGAGUGGACGGAUCAACGGUGUACCAGUUGUCACGCCAGUGGCACGGCUGGAAAGCCGCAUCCGGAAAGGAUAAACGCUGAAAGCAUCUAAGCGUGAAGCCCGUCCCGAGAUGAGACUUCUCAUCAGCAAUGAGUAAGACCCCUUAAAGACGAUGAGGUUGAUAGGCUGUGAGUGGAAGGCCCGUAAGGGUUGGAGCGACGCAGUACUAAUAGGUCGAGGUCUUAACU
rnacentral:rRNA from 1 species